AAUUGCUAAAUAUCAUCUGGGGUUUGGAAUCCGUCAGUCAAGUUAUAUAGUGAUCUGCCCCUAUGGCAGGACAUUUGACUGUGGUUUCUGCCGGGCAUUUCACUAUUUAUUUUUUAACAGUGACGUUGCCUGGAGUUUGUUCAGGGAGUAGUGCAUUAUUGCAUGUGGUUGGAUUUGACUUGUACAUAAUACGGCAAGUCACCAAGUAUAAUCGAUAUUAUAAUCUCAAUUCUAGGCAAUGUCAUAACUCUGUACUUAUAACCCAGAAUCUCUGUGAAAAAUUUGAAAAAACUCAAACAAAGUAUUUUAGGGUGGGGAUCUGGAACACUUAUUGGAAAAAGAAAAAAGGGGAAAAUAGAAAAAGGCAUAAUCCCUGAGCUGGAGCUUUGGUGGUGCAGUUUGAUCAGCAGAAGCGCCUUUCACCUUUAUAAGAUUGGGGGUUCAAUUCUCGCUACGGACACAUGUGUCAUUUGAAAAGAGACUAUCAACACUUUGCCAAAGUUGUGGGUUUUCUCUAGGCGCUUCUGUUUCCUCCCACAGAGAAAGCUAGUUGACAGGGUGGGUUAGGAUGAAAUAGGAAUCGAACCUGCUAGGGACCUAUAGUUGUAUUGUCACAGCUGUUCCUGGUUAGGUCUAAUAAAUGUACAGUAUAUAAAUUUCCACUCGACAAUUUCCAUCGACAAGACCUUCAAAGCAUCAUUCAAUUGAGUGAGAUUCCAACAAAAUCUUGAUAUUUAGGAUAAACAUAGUUAGGAAAGUAAUGUCACAGUAAAUUUAUAUAGUAUACAUAAAUUAGAUAACCUAGGCUAAGUUGGUAAUUUAAGUAAGCGUAAACAUUAACUUGAUGUAAUUGGUUGCUGAAAUGCUCCGAUAGG